rnacentral:rRNA from 1 species
GAUGAACGCUAGCUGGAGGCUUAAUACAUGCAAGUCGAGCGGGAUUGGGUAGCAAUACCCAUGAGAGCGGCGCACGGGUGAGUAACGCGUACACGACCUACCUCUAACAGGGGGAUAGCCCUGGGAAACUGGGAUUAAUACCGCAUAUAAUUCUGAAUAAUAAAGGUUUGGAAUGAAAACUGAGGCGGUUAGAGAUGGGUGUGCGUCUGAUUAGCUAGUUGGUAGGGUAACGGCCUACCAAGGCGAUGAUCAGUAGGGGGCGUGAGAGCGUGGUCCCCCACACGGGUACUGAGACACGGACCCGACUCCUACGGGAGGCAGCAGUAAGGAAUAUUGGUCAAUGGGCGAAAGCCUGAACCAGCCAUCCAGCGUGCAGGAAGAAGGCCCUAUGGGUUGUAAAGCCCUUUUGUUGGGAAAGAAAUCCUGUCGAUUAAUACUCGGUGGGGAUGACGGUACCCAAAGAAUAAGCACCGGCUAACUUCGUGCCAGCCGCCGCGGUAAUAC